CUGCACAUCCCUGCAAUGCACUCCUGCUCCUGUGCCCCAGCACAGACACCACCUGGAAUGUGCCCAUCCAAAAGCAGACUUAAGCAGCUUCUCAGCCAAGACCUACGAGUGCCAUUUGCUGCUACCAACACAGACAGCUGGAAAAGCCCCCUGGAUAAUGGGGAGCUUUCAGUCCCCAGAAAGACUGAGGCAGCAAUUCAGAAUUAAUGUACAACUAAGGCAGAAAAAGGCCUGCAAUUUAUCAGAUGCUUCAGUAAUUCUUGAACACUUUUUCUGUGAUUCUGCUUUCCUCAAGAAUGUGUAAAUGAGACUUUAAAAACACAGUUAACUUUUAUUUUGUAAUGAAGAUAAAAAUUCUGCUGCUAAGAUGGGAGACUCUAGUAAGGAAAUGAAAAUGCAGCUGGAAGGUGUGGUGGUAUUUGCUGUCUGCCAGGUCACCUGUAUUUAUUAGCAUGGCAGCUGCCACUAAUGGGACAAAGGGAGAAAACUGAGUAAAAAGCAUUUGUUGAUUUCACCACUCAUUUAAUAUUUUGAUAAGAACUCAGCUAAAUCACUGUCCAGUAACUCUGCUUAUAAAACAGGAUUUAUAGAGAGCUUUAUGGGAAUAACACUAGAUUAGAAAAGCUCUUUGCAGGCUUUUAAACAAGAUACAAGGCAGUGCACUGCAUGUACAACACCUUAUUUCACAACAAGAGAGAGGCUGCAGAACUAGACAUUUUCUCCAAGACAGUAUGAAAACAUAAAUGGAAACAUGAACUUGCAGAAUUAGGACCCGGAACACGCUAAGCUGACAUACGUAAUUUCAAGUAUUCACACAGCUGUCACAGAUGGUGAAAAUGGGGGUUGUUCUCCAACACCAGCAAAGGCUCUAAUUGAGAGAAUCCCUGAAACAAAAUCCAUCAAGUGACAAAUGCCAACAGCGGAUUUGCCCUUGAGGAUUUCUAAUAGGACCUGCCACAUAACCUUAAAAUGCCCAUGCUUUUCUGUCAUGCCCCUGGAACAGCAGCAAAGCCCAAGCUCUGGAGCAGUGUGAACAGAGACCCUCACCUGAAGCAGCUGCUGCUCUUCUGGCCCCACCUGAACCAGGUUUUAGUGACAAAGGCCAUUUUAUUCCACAAGGAGUCAAAAACAACCGUGAUAAGGUUUACAGAGCCAAGGACUUGGCUCUCUGGCAGGUGAGUUUUGCCAGCCAAGCAGUGCAUUCCUGCCUGUGGACAGGUGGAGAAGCUUGUCCCAUUCCCACUGCCCUGGAUGGAGCUAAACAGCUCUAUCAAUGGCUCCAGCAAUGGAUCACUCCCAUCAAGGAACUGUAUUUUGUUGUACCAGCAAUGCCAACAGCUCCAGAAAAUCACCUGGGAACACACAGCAACCUGGACUGGGCAUGGAGCAGCUCUCAUCAAAGGGAAGUGCUCACUUAAAACCCUCAGAGGAGUUGACCAAAUGCCCACAGCCCAGUAGGGAACUCCUUGAAUAAAGACCCAGGAUAAGAAGCACAUUUCUUCAUUAUCUUCAAGGACUUGGAAUAAACUGCUCCUGUUUCCUAGGGGAUUAGGAUUCCUGCAGGCUGCUCCUCCCCAGAAAAACCCUAUCCCCCCAUUAGUAUGAAAUAUUUGGAUUCUCUAGUGGGACAUAAAAUGUGGAACAUUUCUGCAGAUAAACAAGUGAAAGUACUUCAUAGGUUAGGGAAAAAAGAGAAACUCAUUUCUGCAGGUGAUACAGACAGACUCUCAGAGUGAGAAAGACAAUUUCUUUUUACAGUUUUUCUCUGCAGUUUCAGAAGUAGAAAAGAAGGAAUUUUCCACUGGGGUAUGAGUAUUUUAUCAUUAUCUCAGGCUUAUUUCCUCAUUUGGAAAAGUUACCUUUCUAUUACAGGCUCUUCAAAAAAUUAAAAUUAAAUUAAUUAAUUAAAAUUAAUGUAAUGUAAUUAAUUAAUUAAAAUGAGCAAAUCUAUAUUAUGAAAUCAAUUAUAGUCUUAAUGAUGUUUUCCAAUGGCAGACCAAAGAACAGCAUCAUUUUACUCAGCUUGUCUGUUAUACUAACUUAUUUGAACACAUAAAAUACACUGUACACUGCAAGAAAUAAACAAGAUUGGAUGGAUGGAUGGAUGGUUGGAUGGAUGGUUGGAUGGAUGGAUGGAUGGAUGGAUGGAUGGAUGGAUGGAUGGAUGGAUGGAUGGGAGUGACAUUUUCCUUGCUUCCUAAAAAAACUGCCCAUCUCUUAGUAAGUAUAAUCCCUGUUUUUCCACAGACUUCUGGUGUGAUUGUUGCUUUUAGUCCUUUUUGGAAGAAAUCCACAAUAACUGCUACACACAUAAACUGAUUUGCAGCUGACAUUUAGAUACUCAGCACCAGAAUGACCAUGCCCAGUCAGCUCAGUUCACACGAAUCCACUAACACACUGUGACUUGGGAGGACUGACCCACACACCCAGGGGGAUUAAGUGCAUGCUCCACCUUUUCAGAACAAAGUGCCAUCCCCCAAUGUACACCUCUAACUGAUUUUUCUCUGACAUGACACAAAUGAUAUUAAUGGACUCAAUUGCAGCCCUACUGUAUUAGACUGCCCUACGUAAUUACUCAGAAUAACCUUUAUUUUACAUCCCCAGGUAA